AUUGAACGCUGGCGGCAGGCCUAACACAUGCAAGUCGAACGGUAACAGGAAGCAGCUUGCUGCUUUGCUGACGAGUGGCGGACGGGUGAGUAAUGUCUGGGAAACUGCCGGAUGGAGGGGGAUAACUACUGGAAACGGUAGCUAAUACCGCAUAACGUCGCAAGACCAAAGAGGGGGACCUUCGGGCCUCUUGCCAUCGGAGGUGCCCAGAUGGGAUUAGCUAGUAGGUGGGGUAACGGCUCACCUAGGCGACGAUCCCUAGCUGGUCUGAGAGGAUGACCAGCCACACUGGAACUGAGACACGGUCCAGACUCCUACGGGAGGCAGCAGUGGGGAAUAUUGCACAAUGGGCGCAAGCCUGAUGCAGCCAUGCCGCGUGUAUGAAGAAGGCCUUCGGGUUGUAAAGUACUUUCAGCGGGGAGGAAGGGAGUAAAGUUAAUACCUUUGCUCAUUGACGUUACCCGCAGAAGAAGCACCGGCUAACUCCGUG
rnacentral:rRNA from 1 species